rnacentral:pre_miRNA from 1 species
GCCAGUGAUGACAAUUGAACGUCCCUUUGCCUUCCCAGCCUCCUUCAUAUAUUCUCAGGCAUAGGAUGACAAAGGGAAGUCCACGAGUCACAUGAAGAAGGACU